CCUACGGGUGGCAGCAGUCGAGAAUCAUUCACAAUGGGGGAAACCCUGAUGGUGCGACGCCGCGUGGGGGAAUGAAGGUCUUCGGAUUGUAAACCCCUGUCAUGUGGGAGCAAAUUAAAAAGAUAGUACCACAAGAGGAAGAGACGGCUAACUCUGUGUCAGCAGCCGCGGUAAUACAGAGGUCUCAAGCGUUGUUCGGAAUCACUGGGCGUAAGGCGUGCGUAGGCUGUUUCGUAAGUCGUGUGUGAAAGGCGCGGGCUCAACCCGCGGACGGCACAUGAUACUGCGAGACUAGAGUAAUGGAGGGGGAACCGGAAUUCUCGGUGUAGCAGUGAAAUGCGUAGAUAUCGAGAGGAACACUCGUGGCGAAGGCGGGUUCCUGGACAUUAACUGACGCUGAGGCACGAAGGCCAGGGGAGCGAAAGGGAUUAGAUACCCCUGUAGUC
rnacentral:rRNA from 1 species